rnacentral:rRNA from 1 species
CUACGGGACGCAGCAGUGGGGAAUAUUGCACAAUGGGCGCAAGCCUGAUGCAGCCAUGCCGCGUGUAUGAAGAAGGCCUUCGGGUUGUAAAGUACUUUCAGCGGGGAGGAAGGGAGUAAAUUUAAUACCUUUGCUCAUUGACGUUACCCGCAGAAGAAGCACCGGCUAACUCCGUGCCAGCAGCCGCGGUAAUACGGAGGGUGCAAGCGUUAAUCGGAAUUACUGGGCGUAAAGCGCACGCAGGCGGUUUGUUAAGUCAGAUGUGAAAUCCCCGGGCUCAACCUGGGAACUGCAUCUGAUACUGGCAAGCUUGAGUCUCGUAGAGGGGGGUAGAACUCCAGGUGUAGCGGUGAAAUGCGUAGAGAUCUGGAGGAAUACCGGUGGCGAAGGCGGCCCCCUGGACGAAGACUGACGCUCAGGUGCGAAAGCGUGGGGAGCAAACAGGAUUAGAUACCCUAGUAGUC